UACGAAGGGUGCAAGCGUUAAUCGGAAUUACUGGGCGUAAAGGGUGCGUAGGCGGUUCGUUAAGUCUGUUGUGAAAUCCCCGGGCUCAACCUGGGAAUGGCAAUGGAUACUGGCUAGCUAGAGUGCGGUAGAGGGUGGUGGAAUUCCCGGUGUAGCAGUGAAAUGCGUAGAGAUCGGGAGGAACAUCAGUUGCGAAGGCGGCCACCUGGACCAGCACUGACACUGAGGCACGAAAGCGUGGGGAGCAAACAGG
rnacentral:rRNA from 1 species